GCCUGACUGGCUCAGUCAGUAGAAUACGUGAUUCUUGAUCUUGAGGUCGUGAGUUCAAACCCCACGUUGGGUG
rnacentral:tRNA from 1 species